GAGGGUUUAGCUUAAUUAAAGCGGUUGAUUUGCAUUCAGUAGAUGUGAGAUGGAGGUUCACAAUCCUUA
rnacentral:tRNA from 1 species